AUACGGAGGGGGCAAGCGUUGUUCGGAAUUACUGGGCGUAAAGGGCGCGUAGGCGGAUUGUCAAGUCAGAGGUGAAAGCCCUGGGCUCAACCUGGGAACUGCCUUUGAAACUAACAGUCUAGAGUCCGAGAGAGGAUGGCGGAAUUCCCAGUGUAGAGGUGAAAUUCGUAGAUAUUGGGAAGAACACCAGUGGCGAAGGCGGCCAUCUGGCUCGGUACUGACGCUGAGGCGCGAAAGCGUGGGGAGCAAACAGGAUUAGAUACCCCAGUAGUCC
rnacentral:rRNA from 1 species